rnacentral:rRNA from 1 species
AGAGUUUGAUCAUGGCUCAGGACGAACGCUGGCGGCGUGCUUAACACAUGCAAGUCGAACGAGAAUCUAUGGAUCGAGGAUUCGUCCAAGUGAAGUAGAGGACAGUGGCGGACGGGUGAGUAACGCGUGAGGAACCUGCCUUUCAGAGGGGGACAACAGUUGGAAACGACUGCUAAUACCGCAUGACACAUAGAGAUCGCAUGGUUUUUAUGUCAAAGAUUUAUCGCUGAAAGAUGGCCUCGCGUCUGAUUAGCUAGUUGGUGAGGUAACGGCCCACCAAGGCGACGAUCAGUAGCCGGACUGAGAGGUUGACCGGCCACAUUGGGACUGAGAUACGGCCCAGACUCCUACGGGAGGCAGCAGUGGGGAAUAUUGGGCAAUGGGCGCAAGCCUGACCCAGCAACGCCGCGUGAAGGAAGAAGGCUUUCGGGUUGUAAACUUCUUUUGUCGGGGACGAGUAGAAGACGGUACCUGGCGAAUAAGCCACGGCUAACUACGUG